rnacentral:misc_RNA from 1 species
AUUCUUUAUAAUUAUAUAUACAGAGAUCUAUUUUUAGUCAGUUGCUUAAAGAUAUCACUGCCACUAUUUUUGUUUCAAAUUUUUACAAAAUCUUUAAAAAAUGUGAACUCCAUGUACCAGAAAUCAAUAUUUUUUGUUUCACAGACCUUUUAUUUGUAAAUAAACUUGGUGAAAUGGGCAUUUGAAAAUUGAUUUCUUUGUUUUGUUUCUACAGUAAUCAUGGAUUGAUCUCAUUAUUACAUUAAGUAAACAACUUAAAAAAUCAAAUAAUAUUGUUUUAAUUAUGAGGAAGGUAGAUGUAUCAAGUUUAUAUCUAAAUAUAUUGGAUAUUGACACAUCUUGUAUGCAGUGUUUGUAUAACAGAAAUAUACACUUUCAUUUAUACAUGUAUUAACAUUGCACCUUUCCUCCAAAGUCAUUACUGUACUGCUUAAUUUCAGAAUAAAAUUCAAUUCUUUG